AACGAACGCUGGCGGCAUGCCUAACACAUGCAAGUCGAACGAGACCUUCGGGUCUAGUGGCGCACGGGUGCGUAACGCGUGGGAACCUGCCUUUAGGUUCGGAAUAACUCAGAGAAAUGUGAGCUAAUACCGGAUGAUGUCUUCGGACCAAAGAUUUAUCGCCUUUAGAUGGGCCCGCGUUGGAUUAGCUAGUUGGUGGGGUAAAGGCCUACCAAGGCGACGAUCCAUAGCUGGUCUGAGAGGAUGAUCAGCCACACUGGGACUGAGACACGGCCCAGACUCCUACGGGAGGCAGCAGUGGGGAAUAUUGGACAAUGGGCGAAAGCCUGAUCCAGCAAUGCCGCGUGAGUGAUGAAGGCCUUAGGGUUGUAAAGCUCUUUUACCCGAGAUGAUAAUGACAGUACCGGGAGAAUAAGCUCCGGCUAACUCCGUG
rnacentral:rRNA from 1 species